rnacentral:rRNA from 1 species
UACAGUAGGGUGCAAGCGUUUGUCCGGAAUUAUUGGGCGUAAAGAGCUCGUAGGUGGUUCGUCACGUCGGAAUGUGGAACUCUGGGGCUUAACCCCAGACCUGCAUUCGAUGACGGUCGGAGCUAGAGUUUGGUAGGGGAGACUGGAAUUCCUGGUGUAGCGGUGGAAUGCGCAGAUAUCAGGAGGAACACCGAGUGGCGAAGGCAGGUCUCUGGGCCAAUACUGACAGCUGAGGAGCGGAAAGCGUGGGGAGCGAACAGG